rnacentral:rRNA from 1 species
UACGUAGGGUGCAAGCGUUAUCCGGAAUUAUUGGGCGUAAAGAGCUCGUAGGCGGUUUGUCGCGUCUGCUGUGAAAACUGGGGGCUCAACCUCCAGCCUGCAGUGGGUACGGGCAAACUAGAGUGCGGUAGGGGAGAUUGGAAUUCCUGGUGUAGCGGUGGAAUGCGCAGAUAUCAGGAGGAACACCGAUGGCGAAGGCAGAUCUCUGGGCCGUAACUGACGCUGAGGAGCGAAAGCAUGGGGAGCGAACAGG